AGGAAACAAAGGCGUAUAGGGAGCCAGCCUAUAAAAAGGAAGAGGUCAGAGAAGUGCAAAGAGAAGCAGAGCUAUUGAGAAGGGCCUCAUCUCAGAAGUUCUGUGCUUUCUGGGAUUUCUAAUUCCAGUUCCCGGCCAUGUGAGUCCUUACUCAUUUCUCUUGAGGCCAAUCAGGCUGCCUUUGCACGAUCUGUCUUCAUAUGGGCGUGGCCCUCUAUGAUAAAGGCGGAGAAUAUAUAACAGCACCUGGAGGGAAAGCACCUGUUGUCCUUUUAGUCACGAAGCUGAAGCCAGGCCCUCUUCCUCUGCCUCUCCAUUACUGUCUACACCACCUCAUGUGGCCCCAGGGCUGUUGCUAGUUCUCCUGCCUGGCUGUGAACAGCUGAAAAUGCAGCAAGAAGUUGGAAGACCCUCAGAGAGAAAUUGGCAACAUGACUCUAUGGACAUUAUCCAGAUAUUACCUCGUUGUUGUGUCUCAAAGCCGUAAACCAAUGCUUUCCUGCCACAGUUCUGAUGAUACCCAUUGUGUAGAUUCGAGAUGCUUUGUGGGUCUCAGAAGUGCACAACAUGGAGAUGGAGAAGGAAGGUGUGAGAUGAACUCUCCACGUGGUCUUCAUGCCCCUCGCACAAAGCUGGGUGCCAUGACAACCACUUGACCCUGGAGACUGGUCAACGAAAGGCCUUCCUGUAGGUCAGCAGUGUCACCCAUGGGCUGCUGCAGGAACAAGAGAAUUAAAAAUGUUUCCCGUUGGGGCUGCCCGGUGGCGUAGUGGUUAAGUGCGUGCGCUCUGCUGCGGCGGCUUGGGGUUCGCAGGUUCGGAUCCUGGGCGCGCACUGAGGCACCGCUUGUCAAGCCGUUCUGUGGUGGCGUCCCAUAUAAAGCAGAGGAACAUGGGAACAGAGGUUAGCCCAGGGCCAAUCUUCCUCAGCAAAAAAGAGAAGGAUUAGCAUUGGAUGUUAGCUCAGGGCUGAUCUUCCUCACCAAAAAAAAAAAAAAAAGUUUCCUGUCAAUCACCAAGACAUGUCACUUCUUCAAAAUGCUUUCCGUGUGCAGCCGCUCCCUCCAUUCGCACUGCCGGCUGCCAUCUUGGUUCUGCCCUCCUUUCUGUACCCCACUCCCCAUGCCUUGAGCCUUGCAACCCCUCAGCAGGUGCUUACCAGAAAAAUCUCCCUAAAGUGCUGCUCACCUUGUGCUGUUCCUCCACUUGGAAACCUGAAAUAGCUCCACAUUGCCUUGGAGAUGGAGCGUGAACACUUGUGCCCAUUUCAGGAGCUCUGCAGUCUGGAGUUCCAGGUUCGUCAGCCUCAUUUCCCACCACUCCACGGUGGCGGCUCAGACUCAAGCCCUAUGCGGAUGGGGCACUCUGUGAGUCUGCUGGGGCUGCCAUGACAAAAUACUGCAGACUGGAAGGCUUCAACAACUAACAUUCAUUUUCUCACAGUUCUGGAGGCUGGAAGUCCAAGAUCAAGGCGUCAGCAGGAGGACACUGGGACAAGGCAGCCAUCUGUAAACCAGGAGAAGAGUUCUCAUCAGAACCCAGUCAUGCUGGCAUCUUGAUCUUGAACUUCCAGCCUCCAGAAUUGAUGAAGUCCUUGUCACCUGGAGGAUGUAGUUAAUGACUGUAGGCUGGAGGGUUUUGUUGGGUUAUUUGCAGGGCACAGCCGAGGGCCCUAGAAGCACACCACUGGGCUGAAUUGUUUGGAGGGGUAGGUGGUGGAGGGCGUGUUGUUUGCUCCCAGAGGCUGCGCAUCUUGCCCUGGUUUAACCAGUUCACAGAGGGAUGUAUGAGCUCUAUGUAAAGGAGGCAUUUCCGAAACACAGAUGGAGAAAGCUGCCUGAAUGCACACGAGAAAUGCCCCUUCAGGCUGUGAGGCUCCCACUCGCUCUCCACACCUUCUCGGCUUCAAGCAAUUUGCAGGGGCUCCAGCCCCCGUUACUUACCAGGCCCCUCUCCUCUACCAAUUUUGAAGCUUCUGCAAAGCUGAGCAGAUGAGCCCAACAGCCUUUAAUCCUCAAGGGGUCCUGCCCCCUCUCAGCACCCACCUGAGGCCUCAGACUGCAGGUACAAGAACAAGAUUUUACUUAAAAUUUUGCUUUGAAAAAUAAUAAAACUGGCUUCACAAAUAUUGGAACAUUGGUGUGGCCCCAAGUGCUGGCAUAAUACCUGGGUUUAUGACAGAGAAACGUAUGAUGUUUUCCUGUGCUGGAAUUAGGGUGUAGCCUUCACAUAAGGAAGAACAUUGUUUUAUUUGACCGCCUUGCAAAUGAUCUAACAUUGAGUCUCUAUUAUUCACACGUUAAAGUUAAGAAAUAUAAUUGGAUACAUACCAGCAUUUAUAACUUGUUAUUUUGUUAUUAUUAUAUGUUGCAUUUAUGAAAUCAAGUUUUAUGUUGCCUCAUCUUAAUUUUCAAAGCAUGUGCUAUUUAAUAUCUAAUAUUUACUCUCUUACAAUAAAGAAAUAAUACAUCAAC